rnacentral:rRNA from 1 species
CCUACGGGGGGCUGCAGUGGGGAAUAUUGGACAAUGGGGGCAACCCUGAUCCAGCCAUGCCGCGUGUGUGAAGAAGGCCCUCGGGUUGUAAAGCACUUUCAGUGAGGAAGAACGCCUGGUGGUUAAUACCCAUCAGGAAAGACAUCACUCACAGAAGAAGCACCGGCUAACUCCGUGCCAGCAGCCGCGGUAAUACGGAGGGUGCGAGCGUUAAUCGGAAUUACUGGGCGUAAAGCGCGCGUAGGUGGCUUGAUAAGCCGGUUGUGAAAGCCCCGGGCUCAACCUGGGAACGGCAUCCGGAACUGUCAAGCUAGAGUGCAGGAGAGGAAGGUAGAAGUCCCGGUGUAGCGGUGAAAUGCGUAGAGAUCGGGAGGAAUACCAGUGGCGAAGGCGGCCUUCUGGACUGACACUGACACUGAGGUGCGAAAGCGUGGGUAGCAAACAGGAUUAGAUACCCGAGUAGUC